CAAUAGCAUAUAUUAAAGUUGUUGCAGUUAAAAAGCUCGUAGUUGGAUUUCUGGUAGGAGUGACCGUUCCGAACUUGAUUGUUCGUGUAUUGUGUUUUCUCCAGCCAUCCUUGUGGAGAACUUUUCUUGCAUUAAUUUGUAGGGAUUGGGACCCGCAUCGUUUACUGUGAAAAAAUUAGAGUGUUUAAAGCAGGCAAUCGCUUGAAUACAUUAGCAUGGAAUAAUAAGAUAGGACUUUGGUACUAUUUUGUUGGUUUGCAUACCAAAUUAAUGAUCAACAGGAACAGUUUGAGGAUAUUCGUAUGAACAUGUCAGAGGUGAAAUUCUUGGAUUUUGAUCAGACGAACUACUGCGAAAGCAUUUAUCAAGGAUGUUUUCAUUAA
rnacentral:rRNA from 1 species